GAAUUGCUUUUGCUGAGUAAGUUUGAGGACUUCUGGCUCUUUGGUCUGUUACAUUUUGUUUGAUGUGUUUUUGCAGCCUUUUCGGUGGGGAGUGGGGUGUUCUUACUUAGUGUAAAACCGCCGGGA